GUGAGGAAUAUUGGUCAAUGGGCGGGAGCCUGAACCAGCCAAGUCGCGUGAAGGAAGAAGGAUCUAUGGUUCGUAAACUUCUUUUGCAGGGGAAUAAAGUGCAGGACGUGUCCUGUUUUGUAUGUACCCUGAGAAUAAGGAUCGGCUAACUCCGUGCCAGCAGCCGCGGUAAUACGGAGGAUCCGAGCGUUAUCCGGAUUUAUUGGGUUUAAAGGGUGCGUAGGUGGUUUGAUAAGUCAGCGGUGAAAGUUUGCAGCUUAACUGUAAAAAUGCCGUUGAAACUGUCGGACUUGAGUGUAAAUGAGGUAGGCGGAAUGCGUGGUGUAGCGGUGAAAUGCAUAGAUAUCACGCAGAACUCCGAUUGCGAAGGCAGCUUACUAAGCUACAACUGACACUGAAGCACGAAAGCGUGGGGAUCAAACAGGAUUAGAUACCCCUGUAGUCC
rnacentral:rRNA from 1 species